rnacentral:rRNA from 1 species
CAGUCGCCACGGUAAUACGUAGGUCCCGAGCGUUGUUCGGAUUUAUUGGGCGUAAAGCGAGCGCAGGCGGUUAGAUAAGUCUGAAGUUAAAGGCUGUGGCUUAACCAUAGUACGCUUUGGAAGCUGUUUAACUUGAGUGCAAGAGGGGAGAGUGGAAUUCCAUGUGUAGCGGUGAAAUGCGUAGAUAUAUGGAGGAACACCGGUGGCGAAAGCGGCUCUCUGGCUUGUAACUGACGCUCAUGCACGAAAGCGUGGGGAGCAAACAGGAUUAGAUACCCCUGUAGUCCCUGUCUCUUAUACA